AACGAACGCUGGCGGCAGGCCUAACACAUGCAAGUCGAACGCGCGUAGCAAUACGCGAGUGGCGCACGGGUGAGUAACACGUGGGAACCAACCCAGAGGUUCGGAAUAACCGCGGGAAACUGCGGCUAAUACCGGAUGUCCCCCAUGGGGAAGGAUUAUCGCCUCUGGACGGGCCCGCGUCCGAUUAGCUAGUUGGUGAGGUAACGGCUCACCAAGGCUACGAUCGGUAGCUGGUCUGAGAGGAUGACCAGCCACACUGGAACUGAGAUACGGUCCAGACUCCUACGGGAGGCAGCAGUGGGGAAGUAUUGGGCAAUGGAGGCAACUCUGACCCAGCCAUGCCGCGUGGGUGACGAAGGUCUUCGGA
rnacentral:rRNA from 1 species